UCCGUAGGCGGGCAAUUAAGUCAGAGGGGAAAUCCCACAGCUCAACUGUGGAACUGCCUUUGAUACUGGUUGUCUUGAGUUACAGUGAAGUAGAUAGAAUAUGUAGUGUAGCGGUGAAAUGCAUAGAUAUUACAUAGAAUACCGAUUGCGAAGGCAGUCUACUAACUGUAUACUGACGCUAAUGGACGAAAGCGUGGGGAGCGAACAGGAUUAGAUACCCUGGUAGUCC
rnacentral:rRNA from 1 species